rnacentral:rRNA from 1 species
AUGGAAGUGGACUGUCUGGAGGUUGUUAACCUCUGGUCUUCACGCAACAAUGCUCAUUCCAUUGUAGCGCCUAUCUUAGAUGAAAUAGGGGAGAAGUCUUCUAGUUUUAUUUCCUUCUCUGUUAGACAUGUCCUAAGGGAUGCCAAUAGUUCGGCAGAUCUCUGUGCAAAGCACGCGUGUACCUUGUGAGUCUCCGAGUGCUGGCUAGAGGAUGUCCGAAUUUCUUAG